AAAGUCUGAUGGAGCAACGCCGCGUGAGUGAUGAAGGUUUUCGGAUCGUAAAACUCUGUUGUAAGGGAAGAACCAGUAUGUCAGGCAAUGGACGUACCUUGACGGUACCUUAUUAGAAAGCCACGGCUAACUACGUGCCAGCAGCCGCGGUAAUACGUAGGUGGCGAGCGUUGUCCGGAAUUACUGGGCGUAAAGGGUGUGCAGGCGGAUAUUUAAGUGAGAUGUGAAAGACCCGGGCUUAACCCGGGCAGUGCAUUUCAAACUGGAUAUCUAGAGUGCAGGAGAGGAGAACGGAAUUCCUAGUGUAGCGGUGAAAUGCGUAGAGAUUAGGAAGAACACCAGUGGCGAAGGCGGUUCUCUGGACUGUAACUGACGCUGAGGCACGAAAGCGUGGGUAGCAAACA
rnacentral:rRNA from 1 species